rnacentral:rRNA from 1 species
CGGCGGACGGGUGAGUAACGCGUGGGUAACCUACCCUGUACACACGGAUAACAUACCGAAAGGUAUGCUAAUACGGGAUAAUAUAUUUGAGAGGCACCUCUUGAAUAUCAAAGGUGAGCCAGUACAGGAUGGACCCGCGUCUGAUUAGCUAGUUGGUAAGGUAACGGCUUACCAAGGCGACGAUCAGUAGCCGACCUGAGAGGGUGAUCGGCCACAUUGGAACUGAGACACGGUCCAA